rnacentral:lncRNA from 1 species
CGCGGUCCUCACGAGCGCACUGAUUUUACCUCAGAAAAACAACUCGUAUUUAAAGUGAUUUAAACCGGAUUAUUCCUGGGUGUUGUGAAGCGUUUAUGUUCAAUCACUUCCUACAAACAGAAAACGACUAAUUUCCCACGAGUCUGGUUUGGCAAGAACUGUCAGAAAGCUGCUGUCCGCCAGCCGCUGCUGGACCUCCAGGUCCCGCUCGCUUGUGAGACCGUCGGUGGAAUUCAGCAUCUGCAUGAUUUCUGCUUCAAAACACUACAAAUAAGCACUUCUCGUCCUGAAGUCCUGAAGUCUAUCUGAAGUUUAUCUCCCACAGGCCUGACUGUACUGGGCUGAAUGAUGGACUCUCAAGAGGGGUAUCUGGUUGGUGUUCUGAUACUGCUUCCUCCAUGAGGUGCAUCAAUUUUACACAUUCUACAAAUAUGUGAGUUUGACUCAGAUACAGUAAAACAAAAACAAAAAUUAGGAAUGAUUGAUUAGGUCUGAAAGUACAAAUAGUUUUAAGUUUCAUUUAUAGUCAUGCUGUGGUAAAUAACCCAAAACUGGAAACCAUCCCACAAGAAUUUCUUGAUGUUUUAGAGAUGCUUUAAUUACAUCAUCUAGCCAUCACAAUUAGAUUCAUAUCAGAGUGUCUCUGAUUCAUAUGCUUGUAAUUUCCCCUACUUCCUACAUAUCAACUUCAAGAUGUAAGACCUUAUAUAGACCCUUGACAAUAAUAAAACCAUUAAAAGUAGAUCA